UACAGAGGGUGCAAACGUUGUUCGGAAUUACUGGGCGUAAAGCGCGUGUAGGCUGCUUCGCAAGUCGGAUGUGAAAGCCCUGGGCUCAACCCAGGAAGUGCAUUCGAAACUGCAGAGCUGGAGUCCUGGAGAGGAAGGCGGAAUUCUCGGUGUAGAGGUGAAAUUCGUAGAUAUCGAGAGGAACACCGGUGGCGAAGGCGGCCUUCUGGACAGUGACUGACGCUGAGACGCGAAAGCGUGGGGAGCAAACGGG
rnacentral:rRNA from 1 species